CUUGGUCAUUUAGAGGAAGUAAAAGUCGUAACAAGGUUUCCGUAGGUGAACCUGCGGAAGGAUCAUUACCGAGUGCGGGCCCUCUGGGUCCAACCUCCCAUCCGUGUCUAUCUGUACCCUGUUGCUUCGGCGUGGCCACGGCCCGCCGAAGACUAACAUUUGAACACUGUCUGAAGUUUGCAGUUUGAGUUUUUAGUUAAACAAUAAUUAAAACUUUCAACAACGGAUCUCUUGGUUCCGGCAUCGAUGAAGAACGCAGCGAAAUGCGAUAAUUAAUGUGAAUUGCGGAAUUCAGUGAAUCAUCGAGUCUUUGAACGCACAUUGCGCCCCCUGGUAUUCCGGGGGGCAUGCCUGUCCGAGCGUCAUUGCUGCCCUCAAGCACGGCUUGUGUGUUGGGCUUCCGUCCCUGGUAACGGGGACGGGCCCAAAAGGCAGUGGCGGCACCAUGUCUGGUCCUCGAGCGUAUGGGGCUUUGUCACCCGCUCCCGUAGGUCCAGCUGGCAGCUAGCCUCCCCUCCAAUCUUUUUAACCAGGUUGACCUCGGAUCAGGUAGGGUGCCUCUGAACUUAAGCAUAUCAAUAAGCGGAGGA
rnacentral:rRNA from 1 species